UGGGAAAUGACACUGGAUCCUGGAUUCUGGCUCAGCUCCCAGCCAUUGUAACCUCACUUCUGCAGAGGGUUACCCCUGAUUUACACAGCAAUCAAUCCAGUAUCUGCUGAUACUGCCAGGCAUUGAUGAGGUCUGGAAUGGAGUAUUACGGGACAGGUUUUUGGAAGUCUCCUGUGAUUAGUCCCAUCCCCUAAUGAGAUUACAGCACCCAGGUGACGCAGCAGUGCCUCUGCAGAAAUGUUGAAGAGGCUGAUUGAGGCGAGCUAGCAGGAGCUCUGUGGAACAGCCU